GUAAAACCUCCUUUUAGGUUUUUUUUUACGGGCUGUACAAAAACAAGCGGUGGCCUAGUGGUGGUAGUUUGUGGGCUCCUGGCCUAGAGUGCUUCAGUGGAUGAAAAGAAAGAGAAAGCAAGUAGAAUUUUUUUCUUUUCUAAAUUGUUUCAGCUUGCCGUGAAAGCUCUGGUUAUUAAACUGCACGUAGGAAGGUGGAGAGUUCCGAUUCUGUGUUUCUCCUGAAUUUGCUUUUUGACUUAGUCUCUCCAGGGCUCAACUUCCUUACUCUAUUCGUCUUCUAGCCUUAACCUUCUGGAGUCUGGGUUUGCAGUCUGAAAAGGGUUACUUGAGCUUGUGAUUGUAGUCGAGGGUGGAGUGGCAUUUGUUUAGCAUUAUUUAAUUCGAUCUUUCAGACACAUGCCCAGUCUCUUUGUUGGCCUUGGGAAUAAGCCAGUCAUUGCUUCAUUGACUCAUUGUUUCACUGAAUCAUCCUCUUCCAAAUGUAAAACGGGAAAAAACUGUAUCUUACGCUUUGCUGCUGUCUUGAAAACCUAGAGCAUAGGUUCAUAAAGGAAUUAGGCAGUAUCAAGAAUAGUGUUUGCUUAUAUCCUCAGAGAAAACGCAUGUAUGUGUUAAAUGCUACAGGUGUCUCAAUACACAAUACGUGGUCCUAACAGAUAAUUCUUCACUGAAUCAAAAAUUGUUCACAAUUACAGAGGCCAGGUUUUAUACACAAUAUGGUGCAUUCCCAUUAGUCAUUUUAUCAGUAUUUUUUAGUCAUGGUUGUUAUUAAGUAUUGCCAAAGCCUUAAUACUAGUUACAAUUUAAUAUUCAACAUUGUCCCUUCUUAUAUACAUUCCUGGUUUCAAGGUUCUCAGAUUACCUCUUGUAGUCCUCUUUUUUUCCCCCUCAGUGAGUUAAUAUAUAUCAAGUACUUAGAGCCUGACAUGCAAUAAGUACCACUUAGCAUUAUUAUUAUUAAUUAGUUUUAUAACUUUAGAUUCCAGUAUCCUUUUUACUCAUUUAAGUAACCAGUGGCAUAUGGUGGUUCCUAAAACAAUCAAGCCUCAGGUUCUCCUUCUUGAACAUUGUUAUAAAAGCUUCAGGAAUAGCAUCAAAUGUUAAUUUAAGUUGGGAGACAUGGUGCUUGUUUUACUUCUGAGACCUUUAGGAUUUGAGUGAAGCUUAAAGAUUAUCUAAAGUCUAAUACCUUUGCUUUAUAGGAGGAAAAAAAUGGUUUCUGGAAAGUUAAGCGACUUGCCUCAUUUUACGACUAGUUAAUUCUGUACGCUAGACUAGAACCUCAUUUCUGUGUCCGUAAUAUUUCUGCUAUACUGUGGUUUCCAGAAAAGUCAUUCUGAGGGUAUACUUCUGGGGAAUUCAGUUCACUUGGAUGGGUUUUUGCAUUUUAAACAAGUACCCCUGAAUGAUGCAUACACACCCUAAGAUUCUAAAACCAUUGCAUUAUACCCUCGUGCUUUCAGUGAUAGUUGGAGAAAUUCCUUUGGCUGUUUUAGGAUCUAAGCUGAUUCACUUUAAAAUAAGUCUCAUGUUCUUAUUAUAAAUUGUUUAGCUGUAACUAAGUACCAUCAAGAUGGUAUUUGUCCAGAGAGUUUGCUUUUGAUGUACAAUUACUAAGAUUUUCCAAACCUGUCAUUUAUUUCCUAAAGAAUGAUAUGGCUGGGUGUAGAGGUGACAUUCAAUACUUGAGUCCAGAACAGAAAGCCUUCUGGGACCUUUCACCUUGAGAAUAUGCUCCAUGGUGGCCAGGAAGGAAUUCUGACUCCUACUUCCCUGCCCCAGUGCUGCAAACCAGCAUACUCCAUGUCCUCUGUGAAUCUUUUCAACAUGUGGCCAAGUUCAUUAGGAAGGAGCUUUCUUCCCUGGGGGAUCUGUUCAUUAAGGUAUUUCUGUAAUAAUUCCUUUUCCAAAUGAUCAUUGCAGAAGCUCAUUAGCCAUAUGGAAGAGUUAAUUCAGCAAGCCAGGUAUAUCUUGUCAGGAUGCCUAUGGUCCUAGCAGCCAAACACUCAAGAACAAAUAUGUUCAAGCACAACUGUAAAAUCCCAUAUGUUGAGUGUUAGGUUACUGGGAAAGUCUACUCUUCAUUUAACACACACUCCCCAGUCAGAACCAUGCUCCCUUUAAAAAAAAAAUAACUACACAGGGCUUCCCUGGUGGCACAGUGGUUAAGAAUCCGCCUGCCAAUGCAGGGGACACGGGUUCGAGCCCUGGUCUGGGAAGAUCCCACAUGCCGCGGAGCAGCUAAGCCCACAACUACUGAGCUUGUGCUCUAGAGCCCGCGAGCCACAACUACUGAAGCCCAAGCACCUAGAGCCCAUGCUCCACAACAAGAGAAGCCACUGCAAUGAGAAGCCUGCGCACCCCAAUGAAGAGUAGUCCCUGCUCGCCGCAGCUAGAGAAAGCCCGCGUGCAGCGACGAGGACCCAACGCUGCCAAAAAUAAACAAAUAAAUAAGUAAAUUUCUUAAAAAACAAAAAACAAAAAAACGACACAGCCAAACAUUAAAUUAACUGAAUUUCCAUUCUUAGUUAUUUUUACAACAGUAUUAAUGUUUGUUUCUUCAAGGUUGUGGUAAGGGCAGUGUUGGACUAUUUCUGGUUAAAAUCUUGAAUUCUCCCUGUAGUUUGAUUAUUUUCUGUGUUUCCUUCCUCUUGUCUCAAGGGGGCGAGCUUGCAUUUCCAUCCCUAGUCCAGGAAUCUCUUCAAAAAAGUUUUCGUUUUGUGUGGCUUUUCACACCCUUCAUGCACACCUGCCAUAGGAAAAUAUGGCAGCUCUCAGGCUAUCUGGUAACUAACUGGACUGGUCGUGGCACUGAUAUUCAAAAUGACUUACACAUCUUAUCCUCUUAUUUAACAGUUUUCAGUUUUAAAAGUCUUUUUAAAAAUGUCUGUGCUAUCAUAUUUACAUAUAUAUAGUUUUGUGGUAUACGUGUCAUCUAGGAAAAAGCAGAGUGGCCUCUUCAUGUCGCCAGUAAGUCUUCUCUGCGUAUAUUUGGCGUGUAAGAGAACUAGCACUGUGCCCACCGCCUGCUGCCAAUUAUCCUUUUUGGGUCCAAAUCUAGAGCUAGCUUCAGUCACAGGGAAACAUACUCCUCAGCUUUUUCAUACAGAAUUUUUGGAGAUACUCUGGAUGUCUCUUCUGAAAUGGGGUCAACAAGAAAUUCUGCAGGUGUGCUUCUAGAGAAGAUAGUUGCAAAAAAGAAGUGCCUUAAAGAACCCCAGAUCAUAAAGCCGCUCCGGACGCGCAGGCUCAGCGGCCAUGGCUCACGGGCCCAGCCGCUCCGCGGCGUGUGGGAUCCUCCCGGACCGGGGCGCGAACCCGGUUCCCCUGCAUCGGCAGGCGGACGCGCAACCACUGCGCCACCAGGGAAGCCCUCUAAUCUCAUUUUAAACUAACUCAGAAUUAUCAGACCCACUCUUAAGACUCUGUGGAUGAAUGAUUUUAAAUAGGUGAUGGUUAAAAUUAUCUUGGAAGAAGUUACCAACUGUGUCAGGCCAUAGUGUUACUUAAUUAAAUUACCAUGUCAGUUUGUGUUUACUGUGAGGGUGCACUGAUUUGUUCAGUACUUCAUUCAACAAAUGUUCUUGAACUCUGUGCUAGACCUUAGAAAUGCUGAAAUGAAAAUAAGCCUGUCUCCACAUUCAAAUUCAUAUUCCAGUGGGAAGAGACAAUUACUAAACCAAUAAGAUACAGUCUGGUAAGUGUUAAAAUAUAUAGGCAAACUCAGGGUGGCUCAUGAAUAGAUAUAUUUCAGCUAGAUAAAUGGUAAAUUCUCCUCUCUAAGUUCCUAUAUACCCCCUGGGAGGAGGGGCGUUUCUAAGGAAUGGUGUAUUAUUUUUAACGCUGUUUACCUCAAGUGGCUUCCCAAGUUUCAUUUUAAAGGAGGAUUGUCUUUUGUGGGGGUGAAGAUAUGUGCAUUCCGUGUCAGAAACUCAGGCUUGGGUGUAACUGUUACUUCUGCCAGUAGACUUGGAAGGGCCCCCACUGGGCGACCUCUCAGAAAAACUAGUGUAUUGCUUCUGACCCCAAGUUCUAUGUUCAUCUUACUGAUAUAAACAUGACUUUAUGGCUGCUUGUUUUCCCCUCUUAAGAGAAGAAGCUUCCAUAGUAGAAAAACUAAAAGAAAAAUAUCAUUUGAUCUGUGGAGAAAGGCUAAGGUCCUUCUCAGUGACGCACAUAAUUGGGACAGUUAUAGAUUUCUUAGAUUUUGAUUGCGUAUUUUAAGAAGAUGCCUUGCUGGUUGGCCACCAUAAGAGUAAAGGUGCACGCUGUAUAUGGAAUUGUUUAUCCAGAAAAGGUUUCAGAGGUACUGAUUUCUGAUAUUUUGGGCCUAUUAGGCUGCUCAACUUCGUGAUGUAGUCUGUGGCUUUGAUUUCUUUUAUUCAUUCGUUUAGUAAACUUUAAGUGAAUGCCUUUCUCUCUCAAGGUAUUGCAUCGAAUAUGUAGGGAAGUAAAAAAGAGGUUAGAUAUUGUCUUUGUCCCCAGUUUAGUUAAAUAAAGAGAGCACAUACAGGCAUAAUCACAAUCUGUGGCUGCAGUAUGUGAGACGUGCCAUAGGUGCCUUUAAGGUGCUCUAGAAGUUCACAGAGAGAUGAAUUCUUCCUGAGAAGUGCUUGUCUGAAAUGUAGUGAUGUUUCCUUGAUGAUAACCUUGUUGUAACACACGUGGUAUAAAUAUUCAUUAGAAAGUAGGGAUAGGUUCAGGGAGCCUUUGAUGUGCUCUCCAGCUUUAUAGUUCUUUAUUGCUUUCACAAUGUACUUGGCCCUUCAAAGAUCCAAGAAUUGCCAGAAACACCCCAAUUUCAGUUUAGGAAACUGAAAAGUAACAUUUACCAAAAGAAGCAUAAAGAAUGGAAGUAUUUGGUAAUAUGUGAGCCAUGUAGGAAUUAAAAAGAGUAGUACCUCUGUUGAAAUAUUUCCAUUCAGCCAGUAUAAAUCUACAUUCCCUCCUUGCCUCUUUCAUGCAGUGAUAUAGCCAUUUUGCUUCCAUUCUGAGAACCCCCAAAGCCCCAUCCCUCCUUAUGGAACCGAAGAAUUGUGACAUGGUCUUAAGUCAUUGCCACGUGUGUAGUCUUCAGUAGAAAGUUAGUUGAUGAUGAAGAUACUUUCCAUAAAGUUCAGAACAGAUAAUACUCUUAGGAGCACAAUUAAAAUAUCUUGAGUUUAAGUCUUACUCAGAAGUCACAGUAAGCCAAAUAUUGAUUAUAUUGAUCUUCCUUAUCUGUGCAGCAGUUGGCAUUCUGUCCUGAGUCAUCAGAAUUGAUAUAUAUUUAAGAGUUUCGAAAGCCUAGUCAUUAUGCAGUUGGAAUUUGGGGCCGAACCGAAGUAUAAGAAUGAAAUAGAUUUUUUGUGUUUGGUUCCUGGAUUUCUAUUGAAGAUAGUUGCAGAAGAUGAUUUCUGGAACAGUUUGAAUUACUUAUAACAGGAAUAAUUAGAUUAAGUGUAUAGCUCCCCAAAGCGGACACUGUGGAAAGUGUUUAUUUGAAUGUCUAAAUUUGACUUGGAACUUUCAUUCAUGCGAGUUGUACAGUAGUCUCCCCUUAUCCAUGCAUGGGGCGUGUGUUCCCAGACCCCUGUAGACGUCUGAAACCUUGGAUAGUGCCAAAUCCUAUAUAGACUAUGUUUUUCCAUAUACAUACAUACCUGUGAAAAAGUUUAAUUUAUGAAUUAGGCACAGUAAGAGAUUAACAACAACAAUAAUAAAAUGGAACAGUUAUAACUAUACUGUAAUAAAAGUUACAUGAAUGUGAUCUCUCUCUCAGAAUACCUUAAAUCUGUAAUGUCUUUUCCAUCUUCACUAAGCACACACGGUGCCCAUAAUUUUUGCAGUUUGAGGUGCUAAGGUAAAAAUAGCACUGUUUUCUUUAUGCUUCUUCACAAUUUCACAGAAAAUUCAUCCUUACCAUAUAUCUUAGCAACCGAUCUCAGCAUACGAUUUUUCCCCCCUUCCCUAUUAAGUCUAGAACUUUCAUCUUUCACUUAAAAGAUGCACUUUACAUCUGUGGUAGAUCCAAAAUGCCAGCAUCACUACUCUUGUGCUUUGGGACCAUUAUUAAAUAAAAUAAGGGUUAGUUGAACACCACACUGUGUACUGACAUAGUCAGUCUGAUAACCAAAACAGCUACUAAGUGACUAAUGGGCAGGAUACGCCGGACAAAGGAACGACUCACGUCCCAGGUGGGGCAGAGCGUCCCAGGUGGGGCAGAGCGGGAUGGUGUGAGAUUACAUCAGGCUACACAGAAUGGUGCACAACUAAAAACAUAUGAAUUGUUUACUUCUGGAAUUUUACAUUUAAUAUUUUCUGACUAUGGUUGAGCACAGGUAACUGAAAUCAUGGAAAAUAAAACCUCAGAUGAGGGGGGACUACUGUAUACAUACACAUGUGUGUGUUUCUUCUACUACAUAGAACAUGAGAUACUUUUUGAGCAUCAUAGCAUCUGGGAAAUUUUGCUCUACCCCUUUCCUGAAGCAGUAGUAAAAAAAAAAAAAAAAAAAAAAAAAAAGGAGAGGGGGAUAAAUAGUGAAAAAGUAUGACUUACUUUCUUGCUCGGAGUCUCCUUGAAGAAAGAUAGACCAGUAGUAAAAUGUACUUAAGUUGGAGAUACCUCGCCACCCAUUUGGUUUGUUUGCAGAAAUAUAAUGGGAUCAUAAGAUUUGUAGUGGGACCAUUUAAAGGUCUUUUCUGCUCCCAUGCGGUCCCGGCCUGAGGAACAGGGGCGGGAGCUUCGAGACUAGGACUGCGCAAAAGCCAUGUGGAGGACAGGCUCUUGGUGAUCCACCCAGCCGUCAGGGCUGCGCCACUGAGGUGGGAGAACCAAGUUCAGGACACUGGUCCACAAGAGACCUCCCAGCUCCACGCAAUAUCAAACAGCGAAAAUCUCCCAGAGAACUCCAUCUCAACGCCAAGACCCACCUUCACUCAUCGACCAGCAAGCUACAGUGCUGGACACCCCAUGCCAAACAACCAGCAAGACAGGAACACAACACCAUCCAUUAGCACAGAGGCUGCCUAAAAUCACAAUAAGGCCACAGAAACCCCAAAACACACCACCAGACGUGGACCUGCUCACCAGAAAGACAAGAUUCAGCC